GACCCCGCCGCCCUUCUCCUACCUCAGGACGGAUACCUGUGCGUGUACGGGACGAACAAUCCACCGAAAACUGCCCAGAAAAAUCUCCGAUUCUUGCUCGAUCUUCACCCGUUUCGCACGAAAUAAAAUUCCUAUAAAUACCCAACUUCUCCUCCUUUCUUUUCCUUUUGGAACCCUAAAAAUAACGCCGCCGGGCUGCCAGAUUUUCGCCGUCGAAGAUCUGCCGCCGUCGCUGCCAUUAGAGCUUGGUUGAGCUCAAACUCGAGAGCAUAGAUACACUUGCAAUUCAUUGCCGGAGUAUCAUCGGAGUUCGCCGCUGCCAAGAACCACCGGAAGAGCGCCACCGUCCGAAGCUGCUUCGGCUCUGCCAUCCUCGAAACACGGCCACAGCUGAUCGUGCGGAGUGUAACACGAAGAGCGCGAACGCCAACGACAAAUAAGGCAA